UUCUGCCUGUCACAAUCCUUUGUGUCUUGGAAUGUAUCUUUCCUGAUGGCCGAUGUAUAAUCAACUUCUAGGUUGUUGGAUGGAGAUGGAAAGCAACAGACACAGAAGAGAAGCAAAAGUAAUAUACUUGAUGCCCUCAGUUGUCCUAGAGGAGACAAGUGCUUUUAUGAUCUUCCUUGAUGGAACCAAAAAGACGUUGUUAGCAUGUGGCAUGUAUGCAGUUUUAUAUUAAGAUAUUAAGAAGUGACUUAACAUUAAGAUGUGAAUAGUAGCAUUUUAUUCAUCUUUGCUAUACAGUGAAGUUCUGCCAAUUCUUCCUAAGAUUGUCCUAGCACUAAUGCUUAAUAUAAACAUCCGUUAAACUAUAGCUUGCAACUUUUUUGUGACCUUUCUCUGAAAUAGCAAGCUAAUCAGUACCCCAGCAGUGAAGUGUCAAGGCAGACCGCCAUCCUCUGUUUUAAGGCUGAUAAUGAGUUACCUUUUCUUGAGGUUUACCUAUGAAAUUUCUUCAGGUUUGCUUCAAAGCACUGAACCUGUAUUGUUUAUAUACCUGCUUGGCACUUAGUAUUGAUUCAAUUUAAAGUAGUAAGAUAAAAUUCUUAAAGCAGAACAUACUUUUUAAUAACCUAAAACUUCUGUCUAUUCAACAAAAGAAAUCCAUUUACCAUCAGGCUCCUCAGAAGGCAAUUUUGCUGAUGAAAAGGAAAAUUGAAGUACAACCUACAUUUAAAACACAGCAAACAUGCCUUACUUUUUUUCUUUCCCCAGCAGACAUUAUGCUAGUUACUUGUGGAUGGGAAUGUAUAAUAAUCCACUCUGCCCAGAUCUCUUCUUCUCAGCUUUAUUCAGUGGAAUGCUUUCCCUUUGCAGCUGUUUAUCUUAGCAUAUUUAAAAUACUAGUGAGAGUGUAGUGCUGGUAUCAAACAGAUGUAACAGUGGUAUUGUCUUUAAAUAUCAGAAGCGAGGUUUUCAGCAGAGGUGUUUGAAAGAUGAGCUUGGAAGUAAAAUUAAAACUUUUAAUAGACAUUAUCAAUGGACUGAGUACAGCAUAAAUGUAAAAUAAAUGUUGCAGUCACAAUUUUGUCAUCGCUCCACUUUUAGUUUAUCCGUGGCUAUUUCAGAAGUGGUUUCUUUGCCCUUCCUGUAGGUGUUAAGACCUUCCUGGUUUCUCUCUUAGCUGGUGCCUAUUUGUGCUCUUCACCUGUCUUCUCUCUCAAACUAUGGAACUGAUGCACAUAACAGAAUUCAAAAUAAUUAUUUCCAGCUGUACUUUGUGGUUUGUUGCUUCAGUUUCAACCCCACAAGAAGGGCUGUGUACCUUAAAGCUUAUCUUUCCCUUAGAGACACAGAUACAGUUGAAGUGAAAAAGAUGAUUCCCUUUCCUUCUAAGCCUACAUCUUGACACACUUUGGACUGCUAUACUAUGGGAAACCACAGCCUAAAAAAUAAAGCUUUUGGCGUAGUCUGCAGGGGAUUGGAUACAAAUUCUAUUGUGACAAGGGAAAGCAUUGCCAGAGAGGAAUAAGCACAGUGAGCUUUCAGUAUACCAAGCAGCUGCAAGUAAUGAAGCUAUUGGGUCUGAGACUGUCUGCUUAUUAUGGCUGGGUCUCCAGAGACGUUAUUAGUUUCAAUCAACUGCUGUCACUAAAGGUGGAAACCUUUUUUUGAGUAAGACCUAUACAUCUUUCAGUGUAGUCUUUAAAGGUCAUAAUGCAACUUCUGUUAUUUGCAUGCAUGUAAUAUGUUUUUAGAGGUAUGCAAAUUCAAUAUAUUUGGUUUAUCCAAGCAAGCAUGUUGCAAUAUCCUAUUGUAAUUACAGAACAUUCAUUUUAAAUCUGGAUUCUGAAUUCAAAUGUUAUUUGCGUAGGAUUUUGUUAAAUAAAAACUGGUCUGCCACUCAGGAAGGUGCUAAUCACUCGUACUUUAGUUUUUAUUUACUUUAUAAAUGAAAUGUUAUUACUAAAUAAAUCUGGGACAGGAUGGAGGGACUCAAAAUGAAUCCCAGUAGUAUAAGUAAUUAGAAGAUUUCAGCUUGAAAGGAAACUCAGAAAAAGCUGAACUUGGUGGAGGGUAAGUGGUGGUGGUAUAGGAAGUCAAGUGAAGUCUUAACCACACUGAACUGUCACUGCAUUCCCACAGGUUUGCCUUGUACACGCACAUCUUGUUUAUGUGCAACCACAUUGCAAAUAUAAUUGGGUGUUAUUUUCCCUGAUGUAGAUGGAGAGUUUAAAAACAACAACAA